rnacentral:rRNA from 1 species
GAUGAACGCUAGCGGCAGGCUUAACACAUGCAAGUCGAGGGGUAUUGGUUUUCGGACCAAGAGACCGGCGCACGGGUGCGUAACGCGUAUGCAAUCUACCUUUUGCAGAGGGAUAGCCCAGAGAAAUUUGGAUUAAUACCUCAUAGUAUAGUACUUUGGCAUCAAGGAACUAUUAAAGUCACAACGGCAAAAGAUGAGCAUGCGUCCCAUUAGCUAGUUGGUAAGGUAACGGCUUACCAAGGCAACGAUGGGUAGGGGUCCUGAGAGGGAGAUCCCCCCANACUGGUACUGAGACACGGACCAGACUCCUACGGGAGCAGCAGUGAGGAAUAUUGGACAAUGGGGCGCAAGCCUGAUCCAGCCAUGCCGCGUGCAGGAUGACGGUCCUAUGGAUUGUAAACUGCUUUUAUACAGGAAGAAACNCUAACUUCGUGAAGUAGCUUGAC